rnacentral:rRNA from 1 species
UCGGGAAUUUUGGGCAAUGGGCGAAAGCCUGACCCAGCAACGCCGCGUGAAGGAUGAAGUCUCUCGGGAUGUAAACUUCGUAAGAAUAGGAAGAAUAAAUGACGGUACUAUUUGUAAGGUCCGGCUAACUACGUGCCAGCAGCCGCGGUAAUACGUAGGGACCAAGCGUUGUUCGGAUUUACUGGGCGUAAAGGGCGCGUAGGCGGCGUGGUAAGUCACUUGUGAAAUCUCCGAGCUUAACUCGGAACGGUCAAGUGAUACUGCUUUGCUAGAGUGCAGAAGGGGCAAUCGGAAUUCUUGGUGUAGCGGUGAAAUGCGUAGAUAUCAAGAGGAACACCUGAGGUGAAGACGGGUUGCUGGGCUGACACUGACGCUGAGGCGCGAAAGCCAGGGGGAGCAAACGGGAUUAGAUACCCUAGUAGUCCCUGAGCGGGCUGGCAAGGCGCAU